UCUGCGCGCUCGUGGUGAGAAGGGGGUGCUGCGCCCCGAGAACGAGACGCUGCUGGACGCCGAGCGGUGGCCGCGAACUUCGCGACACAUUGAGUGGAGGAGGUGUUGCACUGCGGGGAUGAGAUCACAGUCACACGGAACGCGAUCGGGGACGGCGCGGAUCUGACGACAGACCGUGGCUGGGACGUUCCAGGUUGGAUCGAGAGGAGGAUGGGGGCAUGAGCAUCAGCUGGCAGCGCAACACCUUCGCCGCUCUUCUCUUGAUUAGCCAUGUUCGUCCGCCGUUGGACCAAUCCAGCACCACCAUGAUGACCCUCUCGUCGAGCCGAACCCGUUCUGCCGGUGUUCGUCGCCCCUACAUCGUCGGGCACCGCCGCCAACGAAGCUGCCGCCGGCCAUCUCGUCUCCGGCCAAAUUCCGGCCAGGGCCCCUCCAACGUAGGCGGACGUGUCCGUCGAUAGCGAGGCACCAGUGGUGACUUCGUCAAUCUCGAAGAUCUGUCGGCUCAGUCUCUCAGAGGAUAAAGUCUCUCGGAGGUGCUUAUAUGGGUAGGGUUGCAUAUGUGUAUUCGUAAGGGUGAGUGUAUAUACAUUUAAGCGUAUGCGUUUGUACUGUAGUUCAAAAAAUCAUAAGGAAAAAGUCUCCUUAACACCCUGAA